rnacentral:tRNA from 1 species
GGGACAGUAGCUCAGUCGGUUAGAGCAUCGGACUCAUAAUCCGUCGGUCCAGGGUUCAAGCCCCUGCUGUCCCA